CUCUCGCUUUCACUUCUCAAGCAGCCAAGCUGCACCUUUCUCUUACAGCUAGUCGGCUUGAACAUGCUGUCGUCUUCUUCGUCAACGUAGCCAUUUAGGGAUUUUUCCUCCGUCGGUACCCCCGCCGCUGCUUCUUCUCCCUGGUCUCCGCCGCUGUCUUUAUUUUUUUUCAUUUGUUCGCUUCGAGCAAGUCACUACGCUACCCUACUCAGGGUUGGACCGAUAUUGUAUGAGCUACUACUUAGGAUGGCUUAGAUCAGACUGCUAUUUCAAACUUUGGCCAAUGUUUUAGAGGUAUAGGAGGGUUACACGAUGUUGAUUACUUUGAACAGGCCGUGCCCAGUCUGCCGGAGAUUCUCUUCAACAUUCAAAUUUUACACUAAAUCCAGUGCUCCAAGAUGAAGAAAAAGAAUAUCGAAGCUUGAAUAUUUGGAACACUUAUUUCGUUUUCAUUAGAAUGAACAUCAACAUCAUGAUAAGCUUAUCUUAUUAGAAUAUUUGAUACGAGCCUCAAUGACCGGCUCUCCAUAUCACAUCGUACUGCCAAGACCACACGGGGUUCGUCGAGCUCAAACCUAGCUAAAGGCUAUCACCUUGAGGAAGGCUUGAAGUGAGUAAAAAAUGGGUUAACAGAUUAUAAGGGUCCUUUAUAUUUUGCUAAGUUAAUAAUGCUUUAUACAUGUACCUUACCCUCUUAUCCUGAUGAUGUUGGACUUGCCGUAGAACUCAUCAAUUGCUGCUUAUCCCCUAUCAUUUGGUGUUGUUGAUUGCCUAUGUGUAUGGUUGAAGGUUCGUUGCCAUCAAAAUGAAUGAAAAUACCUCCAUUGUUGAAGAA